rnacentral:lncRNA from 1 species
CAAUUCCUAAUAUAGUUAUGACUGGAAAAAUGACAUGGCAUAUUUGGCUUCAUGAUUAAGCACAAGAAUUGUAUUUUUUUGGUAUUAGUUUGGUCACACAGUGAACUUAAAACCAUGUGUAUGAGUAUCUUUUUAGAACUGUUUCUGUUUCUAUUUUACAAGAGUGACAUAAGUAUCGUAUUGUAAGCAACAUUCAUUUACCACUGAAUCAUGCACCACCACCAAUCUAAUGGUGCAAGCUUCACACUGUAUCAUAAUCAAAACGAUAUGCAUGAAACAAUGUCAAUCGUUCGAUCGUUCGAACCGUCAUAGCUAAUCAAACUCGAAUUCAAGA